rnacentral:rRNA from 1 species
GACAGAGGUGCCAAGCGUUAGGCGGAAUCACUGGGCUUAAAGCGUGUGUAGGCGGAAUUGUAAGUACCUUGUGAAAUCCCACAGCUCAACUGUGGAACUGCUCGGUAUACUGCUUUUCUUGAGCCACUUAGGGGCUGUCGGAACAAAUGGUGGAGCGGUGAAAUGCGUAGAUAUCAUUUGGAACGCCAACGGUGAAAACAGAACAGCUGGGAGUGAUGCUGACGCUGAGACGCGAAAGCCAGGGGAGCAAACGGG